CAAAACCCAGUGCUUCCCAUUAAUUUCUGACUCUUCACACGUUUACCUAAAUUUCUUCCCACUCGUUCCAACUUUUUCCACAUAAUCCAACUCUCCUAUUUUAAUAAAAUCCCUUCAAAUUAUUUGUUUCUCCGAUCUCAAAGUAUACCAUCUAGUUGCACGGAUCCCAAAGCCUCAUCCCAUCUCAGCCAUUCAUCUUGCAUCCACGUCACCAGGCAUCCUUCACUUCGCUCAUUCCAUCCUCCGUGUUUGGAUAUUCCGUGAUGACUUCCUAGCCGAACAACCACCAGCCUCAUAUUCUUCUGCUAGAUCCCAGCCGCAUUUAGCCAUCGGCAGAAUCCUCAAACUCCCAAACAUGGAUCUCAGCUCUGCUUCUAUCUCGGUCCCACGGUUAUCCUCCCGUUCGCGAUGACAACCACCCACGGAUAACUCCCAGCCGAGAUCCUCUCGUCAUCUUCCUAACCUCCCAACUCCACGCUCCCAAGUUCAUUUCCUCUUCCGAUUCCUUCUCAAACCGAAUCUAGAUUAGAACAAAAGCAUCCCUGUUUCUCCGUGACAUCCUCCACAUCCUUUCCGAGCUUAUCUUCCCAAGGAAUGAACCAACUCCUUUCGCUCCCAGCUCAACCUCAAGUCCCAGCUUCAUCUCUAUCGCAUUUCAGCUCCCUAGCUUCCAUCCGCAAGCCAUUCCAAGCUUCACGGAAUAAAACUGGACUCCCAGCUGCCAGCCGUGAACUUCAUCCGCAUCAUCCUCUGUUUCGGAACAGAGAAGCAUCUUUAUCUUCUUCCAGCUCACGGAUCUUCUUCCCAACCAAAUCCAAACGUAUUAUCCCCUGCUUCGGAUAAGUCUCAAACUCCCUCCGGAUCACACAUCCUUCUGCAUCCAAAGAUCCUCUAUUCCUCUACCGAACUCAGGAUCCGAUCUUACCUCCUAGCUCAUGGAUUCGUCUCCUCUUCCGGCUUGAUCCCAGCUCCUCCCAGCCAAGAUCCCAACAUCCAAGUUCAUCCCCUGCAUCUCGUUCGCAUCUUUCCCAACUUCCGGAACAUUCCACAUCAAACACAAAG